AUAUAUAUAUAUAAAAGCCUUUUGAAUAGAUAAAAGAUUUAAGAGGUAAAAACAGAAACCACAGUAGAAGAAAAUGAUUUUUAAUACUCAGAGUAGAGACAGACUGCCUAAACAAACGGCAAAUCCAAAGACCCUUAAGCAGAAAUGCUGGGAAAUAUGACAGAAACUGUAAAAUUUAUGGGCAGAAAAACGCCACAAACGAAGUCAAAUAAACCGUAGAAAACAUUGACCAUACAUGGGAAAUGCUACUUCAUUCAUAAAAAGCACUGUUGGCCGGGUGUGGUGGCUUGCACCUGUAAUCCCAGCACUUUCGGAGGCUGAGGCAGGAGGAUCCCUUGAGUUCAGGAGUUCAAGACCAGCUUGGGCAACAUAUUGAGACCUCAUUUCUAUUUUAUUUUUUAAAAGCACUGUUACAAAUCGAUAAGAAAAAGACCGACACCCUAGAAAACCAAGA
rnacentral:lncRNA from 10 species